AUUCCCGACCUCCGCACCCUACCCGGUCCGCAGGGCACCUUCCUCCUCUCUCUCAGGCACGUCCUCGACCUCAGUUGCCACGUGCACAUGCUGGUGCCUUCCAGGCUGGAGUAUAGUGGCAUGAUCAUAGAUCACUGCAGCCUCAAACUCCUGGGCUCAAGCGAUCCUCCCACCUCAGCCUCCAUAUAGCUGGUGGGGACCAAGUUUCUAACACAUGAAUGUUGGGAGACACAUUCAGACCAUCGCAGUGGCCUUAUAAAAAGAGACACAAGAGCUUGCUCUCUGCCAUGUGAGAAUACCACAAGAAGACUGUCCUCAGCAAAUCAGAAAGCGGGUGGACCCUCAUCAGACACCAGAUGUGCCUGCACCUUGAUCUUGGACUUGCCAGCCUUCAGAACAGUAAGAAAGAAAUGUGUGUUGUUUAAGCCACCCAGUCUAUGGUAACUUGCUAUAGCAGCCCACUAGGAGACCCCAAGAUAUUUAAAAACUCAUCAGCACCUGCUUUCUGCAUCUGGACCCUGAUCUUCUGGUGGGUUUACCAGUUACUUGUAGAGUGUCCCUGUGAUAGUUUUAGGUGUCAACUUGACAGGAUUGAGGGAUGCCUAGAUGGCUGGGGAAGCACUGUUUCUGAGAAGGACCAUGUUUUUGGAGGAGACUGUUUUAUGAGUGAAUUUCAGGGGACACAUUCAGAUCAUGGCAGUGGCAUUAUAAAGAGAGACACAAAAGCUUGCUCUCUCUCUCUGCCAUGUAAGACUACCACACAAAGACUGCCAUCUGCAAACCAGAAGCAGGUGGGCUUUCCUCAGACACCAGAUCUGCCUGCACCUUGAUCUUGGACUUGCCAGCCUUCCAACUUGGAUCAGGCCAUGCCACCGGCUUCUCUGAUUCUCCAGCUUGCAGAUGGUAUAUUGUGACCCUGGCAUUUAAUAACUAUGACUUUGGUCUUAAGCAAUUUUCUUCCUCUGUGGAUUGAUAUUUACAUAUCAAUGUGGAUAAUAAUUUCUUACCACGGUAACUGUUGUGAGGUAAAAAUGAGUUAACAUAAGUAAAACCGAGCACAUGCAAACCAUCCGAAAUGGUUAAUACUUACUAUUUGUACUUGAAGAAAUAAAUGUUUUUGACAAU
rnacentral:lncRNA from 1 species